GCUUUUGGUAAAGGGCCUUUGUGUACGGACCAUUUUGUAUCUCUAGGUCGAUUUGUUGCCGUUGGGUGUUUGCCUAUAAAAGUGGUUGUACCACAGGAAAAACAAGUUUCAGCAGGAAAAGUUAGCCUGAUCAAUGGUGGAAACAAACAGAACCCACCUUUAAAAUCAGUCUUAAACGGUGAAAACAGAGAGAACCCAUCUCAAAAAUCAGUCUCAAAUGGUGAAGACAGAGAAAACCCGCCUUCAAAAUCAGUCCCAAAUGAUGAAAACAGAGAGAAUCCAUCUCCAAAAUCAGUCUCAAGUGGUGAAAACAGAGAAAACCCAUCUUCAAAAUCGGUCUCAAAUGGUGAAAACAGAGAGAACCCACCUUCAAAAUCAGUCUCAAAUGCUGAAAACAGAGAUGACCAUCUGCAAAUGGCAAAAACGAAGAGAACCCACCUCAAAAUUCAUACUCAAAUGGCGAAAGAAAGGGAACUCAGUCUGGAAAGCGGCUAAAAAGCCGUAAGUCACCUGCAAACUAUGCAGUGAAGUGCCUGCUUUUGGCUAUGAUAAUACGAGUAUAUGAUUACAGCGAGCAUCUCCAUCCAAAACUCAUUUUAGUCCU
rnacentral:lncRNA from 1 species